rnacentral:piRNA from 1 species
UUCAAACCUUGGCAUGACGAAUAGAAAG